AGCAGCCGCGGUAAUUCCAGCUCCAAUAGCGUAUAUUAAAGUUGUUGCAGUUAAAAAGCUCGUAGUUGAAUUUCGGGAUCAAUAUAUCGGUCGUGCCUUCGGUACGUACUGGUAUCGUUGAUUUCUACCUUCUGACGAACCAUGAUGUCAUUAAUUUGGUGUCAUGGGAAAUCAGGACUGUUACUUUGAAAAAAUUAGAGUGUUUAAAGCAGGCACACGCUUGAAUACAUUAGCAUGGAAUAAUGAAAUAGGACGUUUGACCCUAUUUUGUUGGUUUCUAGGAUCGACGUAAUGAUUAAUAGGGAUAGUUGGGGGCAUUAGUAUUCAAUUGUCAGAGGUGAAAUUCUUGGAUUUAUUGAAGACUAACUACUGCGAAAGCAUUUGCCAAGGAUGUUUUCAUUAAUCAAGAACGAAAGUUAGGGGAUCGAAGACGAUCAGAUACCGUCGUAGUCUUAACAUAAACUAUGCGACUAGGGAUCGGAUGAUGUUAAUUUUUUAAUGACUCAUUCGGACG
rnacentral:rRNA from 1 species